rnacentral:rRNA from 1 species
GAGUUUGAUCUUGGCUCAGGAUGAACGCUAGCGGCAGGCUUAAUACAUGCAAGUCGAGGGGCAGCAUGGUGUAGCAAUACACUGAUGGCGACCGGCAAACGGGUGCGGAACACGUACGCAAUCUACCCAAAACUGAUGAAUAGCCCUCCGAAAGGAGGAUUAAUACAUCGUAACAUAAUGAAGUGGCAUCGCUUUAUUAUUAUAGCUCCGGCGGUUUUGGAUGAGCGUGCGACUGAUUAGGUAGUUGGCGGGGUAACGGCCCACCAAGCCUACGAUCAGUAACUGGUGUGAGAGCACGACCAGUCACACGGGCACUGAGACACGGGCCCGACUCCUACGGGAGGCAGCAGUAAGGAAUAUUGGUCAAUGGACGCAAGUCUGAACCAGCCAUGCCGCGUGAAGGAUGAAGGUCCUCUGGAUUGUAAACUUCUUUUAUAUGGGAAGAAAUCCCCGGAAUUCUUUCUGGGUUGACGGUACCAUAGGAAUAAGCACCGGCUAACUCCGUGCCAGCA